CCUACGGGGGGCAGCAGUGGGGAAUAUUGCGCAAUGGGCGAAAGCCUGACGCAGCGACGCCGCGUGAGGGAUGAAGGUCUUCGGAUCGUAAACCUCUGUCAGCAGGGAAGAAAGGUCACUGUGCUAAUCAGCAGUGAAUUGACGUUACCUGCAAAGGAAGCACCGGCUAACUCCGUGCCAGCAGCCGCGGUAAUACGGAGGGUGCGAGCGUUAAUCGGAAUUACUGGGCGUAAAGCGCUCGUAGGCGGUAUGUCAAGUCAAGGGGGAAAUCCCCGCGCUAAACGUGGGAACUGCCUUUGAAACUGGCAAACUGGAGUGUGUGCGAGGAUAGUGGAAUUCCAGGUGUAGGAGUGAAAUCCGUAGAUAUCUGGAGGAACAUCAGUGGCGAAGGCGACUAUCUGGCACAUAACUGACGCUGAGGAGCGAAAGCGUGGGUAGCAAACAGGAUUAGAUACCCCAGUAGUC
rnacentral:rRNA from 1 species